GUUUGGGAUAUGCACGCUUAGAGGAAAAAAUUUUAGAGGAGACGAAAAGUGAGGAAACCUCACUUCCAGUACAUGUGUUGUGGAAGGAAGCUCGUGUGGGCAAGAAUCGAGCUGUUGAUCCCGAUGUUCAAAAAGUUUAUGAUGAAUGUGAGACCAUGUCGCAAUCGGUAUCCACCGGUGAGGACCAGGAUAAUAGGAGCGUACUUAGUAGAGCACUAGAUGUUCCUGAGUAUCCCGGUCAGGUGAGGGGUAAAGGUCAUGGUGUGACUCCAACCUCUUUCUAUAAGCAUUCUAGGAGAAGAAAUCCCACCAAUGAAGAAGUGUUGCAAAAAUUGCAGGAAUUACAAGCACAAGUCUCUGAAUUGCAAAGAGAUAA